UACGUAGGGCGCAAGCGUUGUCCGGAAUUAUUGGGCGUAAAGAGCUCGUAGGCGGCUUGUCACGUCGAUUGUGAAAGCCCGAGGCUUAACCUCGGGUCUGCAGUCGAUACGGGCUGGCUAGAGUGCGGUAGGGGAGACUGGAAUUCCUGGUGUAGCGGUGAAAUGCGUAGAUAUCGAGAGGAACAUCGGUGGCGAAGGCGGUUCUCUGGGACGGUACUGACGCUGAGACGCGAAAGCGUGGGGAGCGAACAGG
rnacentral:rRNA from 1 species